GGAGGGGUGGCCGAGUGGCUUAAGGCGGCGCCCUGCUAAGGCGUUGGGCGAAAGCCCGCGUGGGUUCGAAUCCCACCCCCUCCG
rnacentral:tRNA from 1 species